CCUACGGGAGGCAGCAGUGAGGAAUAUUGGUCAAUGGACGCAAGUCUGAACCAGCCAUGCCGCGUGCAGGAAGACGGCUCUAUGAGUUGUAAACUGCUUUUGUACGAGGGUAAAUCCCGAUACGUGUAUCGGGUUGAAAGUAUCGUACGAUUAAGGAUCGGCUAACUCCGUGCCAGCAGCCGCGGUAAUACGGAGGAUUCAAGUGUUAUCCGGAUUUAGUGGGUUUAAAGGGUGCGUAGGCGGUUCGAUAAGUUAGAGGUGAAAGCCCGGGGCUCAACUCCGGCACUGCCUCUGAUACUGUCGGGCUAGAGUUUAGUUGCGGUAGGCGGAAUGUAUGGUGUAGCGGUGAAAUGCAUAGAGAGCAUACAGAACACCGAUUGCGAAGGCGGCUUACUGGACUGUAACUGACGUUGAGGCUCGAAAGCGUGGGGAGCAAACAGGAUUAGAUACCCUGGUAGUC
rnacentral:rRNA from 1 species